rnacentral:tRNA from 1 species
AAUAUAGUAGUAUUAAUACAUUUGAUUUCCAAUCAAAAGUGGAAAUAAUUUUUAUUA